rnacentral:rRNA from 1 species
GAUGAACGCUAGCGGCAGGCUUAACACAUGCAAGUCGAGGGGUAUUGGUUUUCGGACCAAGAGACCGGCGCACGGGUGCGUAACGCGUAUGCAAUCUACCUUUUGCAGAGGGAUAGCCCAGAGAAAUUUGGAUUAAUACCUCAUAGUAUAGUACUUUGGCAUCAAGGAACUAUUAAAGUCACAACGGCAAAGAAUGAGCAUGCGUCCCAUUAGCUAGUUGGUAAGGUAACGGCUUACCAAGGCUACGAUGGUAGGGGUCCGUGAGAGGGAGAU